AAUGAAAUCUAGCUCAUGCACACUUUUGAAUGUGUGAGUAUUCAGUUUCGGAGCGUAUUUCAACAGAGUGGACAGUGAAAGAUUAAAUGAAUGAAGACAGAAGCAGCUUGGUUCACGGUCAAGGCGGUGACAGAGACUUUGGCAAUAUGGGUAUACAAUUGGCCAAAUCUACGCAAGCUGAUGCUUAUCUGCUGCUCUCACUGUUAUGGAUGACACUGCAGAGCAUCCGAUAGACUACACAACCAGUGCUGCUGAUAUCCUCAUUCUGGCCAAAUAAACCAUGGUUCCACCUGUUGUUGAAGUUACUUGCGAACCCUCCAUGUCCACUAUCCAUCAGACCAGACCUGCAGGUUUAGAGUAAAGCCGACUACACGUUUAAUUAUGGUUAUGGCCCUUAGGGCAACCCCAGCAUUGUUCACAAGGGGUCAGGCACUCACUCUUGUGGGUGUACAUACUUAAUCUAUGUAUGUACUGGUUUUAUGUGGGCGAGUAGAAUGUUUUUUGCAGCAUUGUGUGAAACACUGGUCAUAACCCCUUAUCUUGCAUGUUUUUACAGAGCCAGCUGGAAACGUCGACCCUAAAGGUAUAUAUUGCACUACUGUCUGUGCACCACAGACUGGUUAACGGCCUCCUGCUGCGAGCGUAAAAACUAAACAAAACCUUCUUAAAGGUGCAGAACAUCUCCGCUCCUAACGCAAAGCAGUAGUUCCACAGUGGAUUCUGGACUGCCAUAUGGACCGACGUAGCAUUUUUACCACCCCAUGACUACGAUCAGAAGAGGGAGCAAAUUACAUGCCUUAUCUGAUGUGGAAGGGACUGCCGGUCAACUUGAAGGACACCGAGCAGCUGUUUGUGUGCUUUGGGGAGUACCAUAAGCCGGCUUCGCUGUCUAAGGACUGGUUAGGCCACUGCCUAAAGGAUGUGAUUACACAGGCAUACUCACAUGCAAGUCAAGAGACACAUUCUUCCAUUAAAAGUCAUUUCAUAUGUGCUAUGGAUACUUUUGUGGUGGUACUAAGCUGAGUGUCACUCUUGAAGCAGUGACAUCAUGCUCAACGUUCAUCUUCACCAGAUUUAACUGACUGAAUGUCGCUUCAUUGCACCCCAUGUACUCUGAUUCAGUAGCCAGCAAAAUGACAACUAACACUCUGUCCUCAAUAGAAAUUAUUUACGAGCGCUGUCCAUUAUUGUCUGGGGAUGCACUAUCAGGACAUGUUGUAAACCCCUUGUGACGACGUUUCAAAAAGAAAAUGCCCUGGUGGUCCAGAAUGAAAGGAAGUAGAACGAAAGUUUAUAUUUGUAACUGCGGUUCUAUGGCUAAGUGGAACCUUCUGGGUUAGGUGGGUUAAAGAGAAUGUCCAAGGGCAAGCGUGACAUAGCAGAGACCUUUUAUAGGCUAGCAACAAGGUCAUGGUCAUGAGGUGAAAACGUUGCUAUUAGUAUGCGGAAAAGGAAAUGAACGAGGGAGUGCCCGGGUCCGUGGGCACUCUGGAGCUUGAGCAUUUGAAAACAUUUGUGUAACACUUAACAUUUGUUGGAGUAUAAUAUCAGUGACAUUAGCUGCCGUAGUGUCCAUUUUAGACACAUUUUCAGACUUCUACAUAUAUUACCCGUUCAAAGCAGCAGUGAAUCAACAAAACUACAGAACGACAUUCGUUUUCAACAGAAGCUGGUUAAAUAAUGUGUCAAGAACCACAUACUAGUGUAUUAACUGCAUCAUUAUUUCAGUGGUAGUAAACAGUUAUUUAUUUUCUAUGUUCUUACAGUACCAAAAGGCCAGGUCCUCUGAGGAGUGCUAUGAGGAGAGCAGAAACACAUUUGAAAUAGAAGGCUCUGCGUGAUUUUUUUAUACGAGGCCCGGGGUACGGUUGUCAUGAAAUGACACCUUCAAUGUACUUCAGAAAUUGCUGCCUAUGGAAAUGAACACACAGGAAGCCUUCUGAAGGAAACCGCUAUGGUGGUUGUCCUAUUAGUCAUAGAACUAUGGUUACAUAUAUUACCUUCCAUUUCAAAGGAAGUGAUUGGUAAUUACUUAAAAAUGUAAGAUAUUUCGAUCAAUAUCAACUGUUCUACCAUGAAAACACGUGAUUAAAUCUAUAAUCCGUAUCGAGGUUUUUAUUUUUGUACUGAUUGUAUAUAGUUGUGCUGUGGUAUGAAACGGCUAAUGACUCAACAGUGACGCAUAAUUUAUGUUUUCGAGAAUUCCUCCCUGCAGAUUUGCAAAUGAGAGAAUCACAGAGUAAUGCUUUCAUGGAGCUCUGAACUGUAAAUAGCACAUAUUUUCGCAAUAACUGACAAGGUGCUAGGACUAUUCAUUGUGUCAUUAAAUAUCAGACAUUAAUUGCA